rnacentral:lncRNA from 1 species
GCGGCGCCACUGGCUGCGGCUGCAGAGUCUGGUCGGACCUGGAGGCAGCGGGUUCUGCUGCUGCGAAGAUUCCCAACGGCCGGUUGGGGAGGGGCUGCACAAUCCUGGACCUCGCGGGAGUACAGGACCCGCAAAGGCAGGGGAGUCGGAUCAUGUGCCAAGAGCAUCCCGGGGUCCCGGCUGCUGGCUUGGCUGCCCUGGUCAUCGCUGCGGUUAUGUGCCGUUGCUACCGCAGAGCAAGCGGCCCCGGUUCUUGAACCACACCUGCACUUGAUGGUCCUGCAAGUUGAGUCUGACAGCCAGGGCCCCCGCUCCUUGUGGGCUGUUACCUGCUCUUUCCAGCCUGUCUCCAGCUCCGGCGGCUUUCCCUUACUGUAGACUGCACUUCCUGCCGCCGCCUCCUGGGAGAGCGUGGGAUGGUGGGGGAUAACUAGGUUCUGGCAUCCUCACUCCUCCUGCCCACAAGCGAUGGGAUUUAAAUCGCACUGUCCAUGCUGUGCUCAUCGAGGCCCACCCUGCUUUUACUAGGACCCUCCCUGCAGUCCCCACUCCCUCCUUCCCACGAGUCUUGCAGUCAUGGAUUAAUCCCUUCAUUAUUGACCAGCUGCUGCAGGCAGGCCCUGUGUCGUCCUGUAUCACUUUAACGUGACCUCAUUAGUCUUUGAUUUCUCCUUCACUUUCUGGUACAAUAAGAGACUUGUAUCCAGUCUCCUUUUGUACAUUUUUUGCCCUAGACUUAGAAUCAGCCAAUUUCAUUGGUAAAUGUUAUCUAGAGAGUUCAGCCGUGGAAGUGUGCUCAUUGUUACUGGGUUUUCAUUGCUUCUGGGUCUUUUCAGUGGACAGAACUAGAAAAUAUGUAUUUUUUAAAGAGUAAAACACAAUGUGAGUUCAUACUGCAAUUUCCAAUUCACUUUUAAGAUUACAAGAUUUUUACUUAAACUUCCUUGAUUUUAUGCUAUGUCAUUUUUAUACUGAAAAUUAUGGUUCCUAAUGAUGGAAACAUAGUAAUUUAAUAAAAAUGUCAAUACUAAUAUAUGGCUACUGAAUGCCAUUUAUGAUUUCUUUCCUUUUUUCUUUUCCUUUUUUUUAUUGUCCAUAGCAUAUCUCUCACUUGGGAUGUAUAGUCAAAAUGCUGCGUUUUAAAGCCACUUUAAGUAAUUGUUUGCUUUAUGUGGUUAUGCCACACACUUUAUAUGCAGGAAGACUCAUUCAUUUCAGUUUACUUUAAUUUUUAAAAAUCACAUAAAACACUUAUCGUCCUCCCAAACUCUCUAUUUAUCCAGUUACAGUCACAGAAAUCUUGCUUCUGUAACUUCCCGUUCACCCUGUUUCUUUUUCUUCCCAAUAGAUAACCAUUAAAACAGUUUGGUUUUGGGUUUAUCUGCCCAUGGUUUCUUUUGAUAAUAUCAAUUAAUAUCUAUCUAUGCACUGUGAACUGAAUUGUAUUUCCCCAAAAUUGAUAUGUUGAGGUGCUAAGCCCCAGUGUGAUGGUAUUAGGAGGUGGGGCCUUCAGGAGGUGAUUGGGGUUAGAUGAGGUCAUAAGGGUGGGGCCCUCAUGUUGGGAUUAGUGUCCUUAUAAGAAGGGACACCAGAGAGCCUGCUUGUUCUCUCUCUUCACCAUGCGAGGGCACAGUGAGCUGUCUGCAAGCCAGGGAGAGAGCCCUCAUCCAGGAACAGAAUCCACUGGCAGCUUGAUCUUGGACUUUCAGCUUCCUGGAGUGUGAGAAAUAAAUUCUUGUUGUUUAGGUUACCCAGUGUAUGGUGUUUUGUUGUGGUAGUCCCAGCUGACUAAUGCUCUACUAUCUAGCUACCUCUCUGUCAUCUACUUCCCCAUCACUUACCUAAAAAUUACCAAUGAUAAAUAUUACUGUUUGCUUCUUUCCUUUGCUUAUUUAUUUUUCCCCAUAUCAGUAUAUAGAGACACUUCUCAUUCCUAAUUACAGCUGCUCCAUAUUCCAUUGUGUGGAUGAAGGAUAGUUUAUUUAAUCAGUCAGUCCUGUGUACUGUUUUAAACCUUCAUUGAGACUGUUUUUCUUACCAUUUCAGUCAUUUAAAUAAUAUUUGAAAAUGAAAAACUCAAGUAAAUAAUAAAAAAUCCUCCCAC